UACCUUAAGCAUCAUGCAGGCAAUUUAUACUUUUCUUGUUUAUUUAAUCUCCCCACCCCAAAGUUUUAAGUAUCGGUAUCAGGUAUCGUAUCAGAGAGGUGAUUUUGAGAGACCUAUCCUAUCUUAUUGAAUUGGAGAGAUACAAGAUACGCUAAAGAUACGCAUGGAAAUAGUCAAGAAAUGCAUGGAUGUGCUUGUGAUACAUACAAAAUAGCAGUUUUGAAGCAUAAAACACCUUAUUAUACAAUAUGUAAAUAUAUAUCAGCUUGAUGCAAGGAUUUGAGUUGUUUUUACUUAAUGUAGUGAUGCAUUAAAAAAAGGAAAAAGAGAUUUGAGCA